GAAAUGCGAUAAGUAGUGUGAAUUGCAGAAUUCAGUGAAUCAUCGAAUCUUUGAACGCACAUUGCGCCCCUUGGUAUUCCAUGGGGCAUGCCUGUUCGAGCGUCAUUUGUACCCUCCAGCCCUGCUGGGUGUUGGGCGUUUGUUCCGCUGCGCGCGCGAACUCGCCUCAAAUGCAUUGGCAGCCAGCCGUCCUGGGUGGGAGCGCAGCACAUUUUGCGCUUCCGCCUUGGGGCGAUGGCAUCCACAAAGUCUACCCUUUUUACGCUUGACCUCGGAUCAGGUAGGGAUACCCGCUGAACUUAA
rnacentral:misc_RNA from 1 species